rnacentral:misc_RNA from 1 species
UAUUGCAUCAAGUAUUCAUCAACUGGAUCUGUGAAGAAAAUGACCUCGUAACCUUUCUUCUUGAGUCUUUCUAGGAAUGGAGAUUUCUCCAGUUGUUCCUUGUUUGGUCCAGUUAUGUAGAAGAUAUCCUUCUGCCCUGACUUCAUUCUUGAGAUGUAUUGAUCAAGUGAAGUCAAUUUACCAUCUGACUUAGUGCUCUCAAAUCUGAGAAGUUUUGCCAA